CAUAUGAAUAAGUAUUGAGAUAAAAGAUGUUCCUUAAAACUUAAAAGACAGUUUGUUUUACCGAAGAUUGUACUGGAGUGCUGGUUAACAUUCCAUUGCCUGUGGGAGCUUUACAGGAGAAAAAGAGAAAAUGACAGACUGCAAGGUUUGGGCUAACAGGGAAACGAUGUAUCAACUGUCAACUACUCACUGCCAAUAAUCAUGAGGCCACACAGCCAAUUAAUUCAUACAGCUUGAUGUUAAAAUUGCUGUUUUUAGUUAAACUUUGAUGGAUUUUGGUGGUGAAAGCUGAAGUUAUUAGCAGACUUAUCUUAAAUGCACUCUUCCUUAGAAGCUAAUCAAA